GACGAACGCUGGCGGCGCGCCUAAUACAUGCAAGUAGAACGCUGAAGGAGGAGCUUGCUCUUCUGGAUGAGUUGCGAACGGGUGAGUAACGCGUAGGUAACCAGCCUGGUAGCGGGGGAUAACUAUUGGAAACGAUAGCUAAUACCGCAUAACAGUAGAUGUUGCAUGACAUUUGCUUAAAAGGUGCAAUUGCACCACUACCAGAUGGACCUGCGUUGUAUUAGCUAGUUGGUGGGGUAACGGCUCACCAAGGCGACGAUACAUAGCCGACCUGAGAGGGUGAUCGGCCACACUGGGACUGAGACACGGCCCAGACUCCUACGGGAGGCAGCAGUAGGGAAUCUUCGGCAAUGGACGGAAGUCUGACCGAGCAACGCCGCGUGAGUGAAGAAGGUUUUCGGAUCGUAAAGCUCUGUUGUAAGAGAAGAACGAGUGUGAGAGUGGAAAGUUCACACUGUGACGGUAUCUUACCAGAAAGGGACGGCUAACUACGUG
rnacentral:rRNA from 1 species